AAAUCAAUGAAGGGGCACUUUCUAUUUCACAGUUUAGCAGUUGCUAGUUCUUUAGUUCAAGUGGAGAUCAGUCUUGUUACAUGGCUUACCUUGUCUUCCUGUGUCUAAACAUACUGAGCACUGAUGACACAGAAUCUGGCAGUUGAGAAUGACCAUGUUCCUCUAAUAUAGUCAUGCUUUUAAACAGUGAAUGAAUCCACUCAAGUGCAAUGGAUGUUAUGCCAAAGUUUGUUUAUGUGCAUCAUCAUAGAGAUUCUAGGUGAUUUUCUUUUAACCUUUAUGAUUCCCAUACAUGAAGAGAUGUGUAGGAAUCAUGAACUGACACUUGCAAGGUUAGACUCCAAGCCCAAGCAUGUUCCCUCAUUUCAUGGUCCUUCUGUGUACCUGGUCUGUGAUGGUUAGGAAUUGCUUAAGCUGUUCAUAUUUUGCAGCUUGGUACUUUGAGUGGUAGUUAGAGAUUGCCAGGCUCUUGAAGCUGCUUAUCUCAGACACUUAUAUUGAGGACCAGUGUUCAGCCCCUCACAGAUGAGCCUUCUUGGGCCUGUGAAAAGUAUUUCCAGAAGCAUUUGUGCUAUCCCCAUCAUUUGCUUGUGAUGAUAGCUCACCACUAAUAGCAUUUACAUUAUGAUACUGAUAACUUUUUGAUUUCUUUAGUGCAAGAAUGUGUGUGUGUGUGUGUGUGUGUGUGUGUGUGUGUGUGUGUGUGCGUGCCAUAAUACAUGAACAAAGGAAAAAACAUUAAGACUAGUUCAUGAUAAUGGUUGCAUUUAUAAAGUAAGCAUUGGAAAUUACCUCAAAUAUUUUUUCUACUGCAUAAUAUUCUUUCGUGUGUGAGUGAUAGUUUUUAAUCCUUCAGUUGUGUUUGGAUAGUCAGGUAGAUUUUAAUGACUUUGCAAUUGUAAAGAAGCCUUAAAUGAAUAGCCUUAUGUGCAUGUAUUCCACAUUGUUCAAGAUACAACUUCAGGAUAAAUUUCUCAGAGUGGGUUGUUGGUGGAAGGGAAAUCCGUAGCUGUUUUGUUAUGUG